rnacentral:rRNA from 1 species
CACCAGACUCCUACGGGAGGCAGCAGUGGGGAAUAUUGCACAAUGGGGGAAACCCUGAUGCAGCGACGCCGCGUGAGCGAAGAAGUAUUUCGGUAUGUAAAGCUCUAUCAGCAGGGAAGAAAAUGACGGUACCUGACUAAGAAGCCCCGGCUAAAUACGUGCCAGCAGCCGCGGUAAUACGUAUGGGGCAAGCGUUAUCCGGAUUUACUGGGUGUAAAGGGAGCGCAGGCGGCCUGCCAAGUCUGGUGUGAAAACCCGGGGCCCAACCCCGGGCCUGCAUUGGAAACUGGCGGGCUGGAGUGUCGGAGGGGCAGGCGGAAUUCCUAGGGUAGCGGUGAAAUGCGUAGAUAUUAGGAGGAACGCCGGUGGCGAAGGCGGCCUGCUGGGCGAUGACUGACGCUGAGGCUCGAAAGCGUGGGGAGCAAACAGGAUUAGAUACCCUGGUAC